GGGGGUGUUCCGGAUUCGACUUGCGACGUUAAGGGGCAGUAAGCAUACCGAAGGCUCGGCUUCGUAAAAACGGAAAUUAAAAAAUAACUGACGAACAAAGUUAUCAAUACGCUGCCGCGUAAUUAGCGCAGCCGUCGGCACUACAACCUGCGGGUAGUCAACCGGCGUGGUUUAGCAGGGAACCGCACGAAGUAACGCCUCGGACUUCGGACGGAAACAGAGGCUCGGUCGAAGUAAAGUUUGCUUGUUGACUUUGCGGAAACGACAACCGACAACACGCUAAGUAUGUAGAAAGCUGUUCGGUAACCCGUAAGAACAGGGGUUCAAAUCCCCUCACCUCCACCA
rnacentral:tmRNA from 2 species